GGAAAAGAAAUCAACCGAGAUUCCCCCAGUAGCGGCGAGCGAACGGGGAGCAGCCCAGAGCCUGAAUCAGUGUGUGUGUUAGUGGAAGCGUCUGGAAAGGCGCGCGAUACAGGGUGACAGCCCCGUACACAAAAAUGCACAUGCUGUGAGCUCGAUGAGUAGGGCGGGACACGUGGUAUCCUGUCUGAAUAUGGGGGGACCAUCCUCCAAGGCUAAAUACUCCUGACUGACCGAUAGUGAACCAGUACCGUGAGGGAAAGGCGAAAAGAACCCCGGCGAGGGGAGUGAAAAAGAACCUGAAACCGUGUACGUACAAGCAGUGGGAGCCUCUUUUAUGGGGUGACUGCGUACCUUUUGUAUAAUGGGUCAGCGACUUAUAUUCUGUAGCAAGGUUAACCGAAUAGGGGAGCCGAAGGGAAACCGAGUCUUAACUGGGCGUUAAGUUGCAGGGUAUAGACCCGAAACCCGGUGAUCUAGCCAUGGGCAGGUUGAAGGUUGGGUAACACUAACUGGAGGACCGAACCGACUAAUGUUGAAAAAUUAGCGGAUGACUUGUGGCUGGGGGUGAAAGGCCAAUCAAACCGGGAGAUAGCUGGUUCUCCCCGAAAGCUAUUUAGGUAGCGCCUCGUGAAUUCAUCUCCGGGGGUAGAGCACUGUUUCGGCAAGGGGGUCAUCCCGACUUACCAACCCGAUGCAAACUGCGAAUACCGGAGAAUGUUAUCACGGGAGACACACGGCGGGUGCUAACGUCCGUCGUGAAGAGGGAAACAACCCAGACCGCCAGCUAAGGUCCCAAAGUCAUGGUUAAGUGGGAAACGAUGUGGGAAGGCCCAGACAGCCAGGAUGUUGGCUUAGAAGCAGCCAUCAUUUAAAGAAAGCGUAAUAGCUCACUGGUCGAGUCGGCCUGCGCGGAAGAUGUAACGGGGCUAAACCAUGCACCGAAGCUGCGGCAGCGACGCUUAUGCGUUGUUGGGUAGGGGAGCGUUCUGUAAGCCUGUGAAGGUGUGCUGUGAGGCAUGCUGGAGGUAUCAGAAGUGCGAAUGCUGACAUAAGUAACGAUAAAGCGGGUGAAAAGCCCGCUCGCCGGAAGACCAAGGGUUCCUGUCCAACGUUAAUCGGGGCAGGGUGAGUCGACCCCUAAGGCGAGGCCGAAAGGCGUAGUCGAUGGGAAACAGGUUAAUAUUCCUGUACUUGGUGUUACUGCGAAGGGGGGACGGAGAAGGCUAUGUUGGCCGGGCGACGGUUGUCCCGGUUUAAGCGUGUAGGCUGGUUUUCCAGGCAAAUCCGGAAAAUCAAGGCUGAGGCGUGAUGACGAGGCACUACGGUGCUGAAGCAACAAAUGCCCUGCUUCCAGGAAAAGCCUCUAAGCAUCAGGUAACAUCAAAUCGUACCCCAAACCGACACAGGUGGUCAGGUAGAGAAUACCAAGGCGCUUGAGAGAACUCGGGUGAAGGAACUAGGCAAAAUGGUGCCGUAACUUCGGGAGAAGGCACGCUGAUAUGUAGGUGAAGCGACUUGCUCGUGGAGCUGAAAUCAGUCGAAGAUACCAGCUGGCUGCAACUGUUUAUUAAAAACACAGCACUGUGCAAACACGAAAGUGGACGUAUACGGUGUGACGCCUGCCCGGUGCCGGAAGGUUAAUUGAUGGGGUCAGCGCAAGCGAAGCUCUUGAUCGAAGCCCCGGUAAACGGCGGCCGUAACUAUAACGGUCCUAAGGUAGCGAAAUUCCUUGUCGGGUAAGUUCCGACCUGCACGAAUGGCGUAAUGAUGGCCAGGCUGUCUCCACCCGAGACUCAGUGAAAUUGAACUCGCUGUGAAGAUGCAGUGUACCCGCGGCAAGACGGAAAGACCCCGUGAACCUUUACUAUAGCUUGAUACUGAACAUUGAGCCUUGAUGUGUAGGAUAGGUGGGAGGCUUUGAAGUGUGGACGCCAGUCUGCAUGGAGCCGACCUUGAAAUACCACCCUUUAAUGUUUGAUGUUCUAACGUUGACCCGUAAUCCGGGUUGCGGACAGUGUCUGGUGGGUAGUUUGACUGGGGCGGUCUCCUCCUAAAGAGUAACGGAGGAGCACGAAGGUUGGCUAAUCCUGGUCGGACAUCAGGAGGUUAGUGCAAUGGCAUAAGCCAGCUUGACUGCGAGCGUGACGGCGCGAGCAGGUGCGAAAGCAGGUCAUAGUGAUCCGGUGGUUCUGAAUGGAAGGGCCAUCGCUCAACGGAUAAAAGGUACUCCGGGGAUAACAGGCUGAUACCGCCCAAGAGUUCAUAUCGACGGCGGUGUUUGGCACCUCGAUGUCGGCUCAUCACAUCCUGGGGCUGAAGUAGGUCCCAAGGGUAUGGCUGUUCGCCAUUUAAAGUGGUACGCGAGCUGGGUUUAGAACGUCGUGAGACAGUUCGGUCCCUAUCUGCCGUGGGCGCUGGAGAACUGAGGGGGGCUGCUCCUAGUACGAGAGGACCGGAGUGGACGCAUCACUGGUGUUCGGGUUGUCAUGCCAAUGGCACUGCCCGGUAGCUAAAUGCGGAAGAGAUAAGUGCUGAAAGCAUCUAAGCACGAAACUUGCCCCGAGAUGAGUUCUCCCUGACUCCUUGAGAGUCCUGAAGGAACGUUGAAGACGACGACGUUGAUAGGCCGGGUGUGUAAGCGCAGCGAUGCGUUGAGCUAACCGGUACUAAUGAACCGUGAG
rnacentral:rRNA from 1 species